rnacentral:misc_RNA from 1 species
UCAAACUUGGUCAUUUAGAGGAAGUAAAAGUCGUAACAAGGUCUCCGUAGGGUGAGUAACGACUUCAACCGAUUUCCGAUCAAAUUGCGAGUCAAUGCUAACGAUUUUCCAGUGAACCUGCGGAGGGAUCAUUACCGAGCGAGGGCAACGCGCCCGACCUCCAACCCUUUGAAGUUACAACUCUGUUGCCUUGGGGGCGACCCGGCCGCCACGUCGGGGCCCCCAGAGGACCACGUCCAUUACUCUGCGUCAAUGCGUCGGAGUUCGAAGGGAAAUUCUUAAUCAAAACUUUCAACAACGGAUCUCUUGGUUCUGGCAUCGAUGAAGAACGCAGC